rnacentral:rRNA from 1 species
UGAGGAAUAUUGGUCAAUGGGCGAGAGCCUGAACCAGCCAAAUCGCGUGAAGGAAGACUGCCUUAUGGGUUGUAAACUUCUUUUAUACAGGAAUAAAAAAGGGGACGUGUCCCUUAUUGCAUGUACUGUAUGAAUAAGCAUCGGCUAACUCCGUGCCAGCAGCCGCGGUAAUACGGAGGAUGCGAGCGUUAUCCGGAUUUAUUGGGUUUAAAGGGUGCGCAGGCGGGCUUUUAAGUCAGCGGUGAAAUCUCGGGGCUUAACUCCGAAACUGCCGUUGAAACUGGGAGUCUUGAGUAUGGAUGAAGUAGGCGGAAAUUCGUUGUGUAGCGGUGACAUGCUUAGAUAUAACGAGGAACUCCGAUUGCGUAGGCAGCUUACUAAGCCAUAACUGACGCUCAAAGCACGAAAAGCGUGGGGAUCAAAACAGGAUUAGAUACCCCUGGUAGUCCACGCCGUAAAACGAUGAUUACUAGUUGUAUGCGAU